GGGCCCGUAGCUUAGCUAGGUAGAGCGCCCAGGGGCGAGGCCCCGACGAACUCGGCCGUCUCCGUCCCGCGUACGGCUCAUAACCGGGAGGCCCCGGGUUCAAAUCCCGGCGGGCCCA
rnacentral:tRNA from 1 species